GACGAACGCUGGCGGCGUGCUUAACACAUGCAAGUCGAACGGAAAGGCCCUGCUUUUGUGGGGUGCUCGAGUGGCGAACGGGUGAGUAACACGUGAGUAACCUGCCCUUGACUUUGGGAUAACUUCAGGAAACUGGGGCUAAUCCCGGAUAGGAUAUCCUGCAGCAUGGUGGGGGUGGGAAAGUUUAUGCGGUUGUGGAUGGACUCGCGGCUUAUCAGCUUGUUGGUGGGGUAGUGGCUUACCAAGGCAUUGACGGGUAGCCGGCCUGAGAGGGUGAACGGCCACAGUGCGACUGAGAUACGGCCCAGACUCCUACGUGAGGCAGCAGUGGGGAAUAUUGUACAAUGGGCGGAAGUCUGAUGCAGCAACGCCGCGGUCGGGAUGACGGCCUUCGGGUUGUAAACCGCUUUCGCCUGUGACGAAGCGUGAGUGACGGUAAUGGGUAAAGAAGCACCGGCUAACUACGUG
rnacentral:rRNA from 1 species